rnacentral:rRNA from 1 species
UACGUAGGGACCAAGCGUUGUUCGGAUUUACUGGGCGUAAAGGGCGCGUAGGCGGCGUGACAAGUCACUUGUGAAAUCUCUGAGCUUAGCUCAGAACGGCCAAGUGAAACUGUUGUGCUAGAGUGCAGAAGGGGCAAUCGGAAUUCUUGGUGUAGCGGUGAAAUGCGUAGAUAUCAAGAGGAACACCUGAGGUGAAGACGGGUUGCUGGGCUGACACUGACGCUAAUGCGCGAAAGCCAGGGGAGCAAACGGG